UACAGAGGGUGCGAGCAUUGUUCGGAAUUAUUGGGCGUAAAGGGCGCGUAGGCGGUGCGGUAAGUCACCUGUGAAAUCUCCUGGCUCAACUGGGAGCUUGCAGGCGAAACUGCCGUGCUGGAGUGUGGGAGAGGUGCGUGGAAUUCCUGGUGUAGCGGUGAAAUGCGUAGAUAUCAGGAGGAACACCUGUGGCGAAAGCGGCGCACUGGACCACAACUGACGCUGAGGCGCGAAAGCUAGGGGAGCAAACAGG
rnacentral:rRNA from 1 species